rnacentral:tRNA from 1 species
GGGCCCGUAGCUCAGUUGGCUAGAGCGCCUCCAUGGCAUGGAGGAGGUCAGGGGUUCAAGUCCCCUCGGGUCCACCA